rnacentral:sRNA from 1 species
UAAUAUGUAAACAUACUCGCUCUGUGUUAGAAACAGAAUAUGGUGCCUUAACCGAAAUACAAAAAGAGAUCAUAAUGUAUUUCAGUAUGUUAAUGCUUGGUAGUAUGAAUUUGCCCCAUACACAGAAUCACUGUGAGUGGGUGGCUAGAAGUGCCCCCUGCUGAUAGAUUGGCAGCUCAAGUACAUGAGUGAUAUUAGUCAUUGGCUUGAUUUACACAGUGGAGUUCUUGGAAAUUUGAAUAUUAAAACAAUGCAAAAAUACGUGUAAAAAUGGACUUCGAUUUUGGAUUUGGGAAAUUAGAGAUGUGUUCUUCAAGCCCCUCACUGUUCAGUGGGCAAGUCAAGUGGAAUGGGAUCUCUGCAGCCUAACAGCUUUCCUGGCCCCUGCCUACUAAAUGCCAAGACAGGCGUAAAUCAUUCCCACAUGUCAACUUCAUGUCAGACCAGACAAAUUAGAUUGUUAUAUUGUGUUAACGUGGUGAAAUGUGAGGGGCCUUGCUGAUUUCUAGAGCUGAAGAAAAACCAUUGGGCAUUUGUGGAGAAUAUUCAGGUGUGGUCCAAGGAUGUUGAAAUUCAAAGAAACACAAAAAACACCAAAGGCGAAGUCAGACCAAUUUAUGGCCCUAUCGGCUGCCGGCUGCCAGCAUGUAAUUUUGUAUUCAAAUUGUAUAUAUGCUUUCCUUUAAUGUUGGGUUUAAGAAUGCAAAGUUUAAAAAGCAUGACAUCAAAGUGGUGAGUGGAUUAUCUGAAUAAUUUACAAGCUCUGAUUUGUGUUUUAUGUAGGUCCUUGGUAUAGUAGUGGGAGUUCUCCUUCAGGAUCAUGAUGUUCGUCAGAGUGAAUUUCAGCAACUUCCCUACCAUCGAAUUUUUAUCAUGCUUCUCUUGGAACUCAAUGCACCUGAGCAUGUGUUGGAAACCAUUAAUUUCCAGACACUUACAGCUUUCUGCAAUACAUUCCACAUCUUGAGGCCUACCAAAGCUCCUGGCUUUGUAUAUGCCUGGCUUGAACUGAUUUCCCAUCGGAUAUUUAUUGCAAGAAUGCUGGCACAUACGCCACAGCAGAAGGGGUGGCCUAUGUAUGCACAGCUACUGAUUGAUUUAUUCAAAUAUUUAGCGCCUUUCCUUAGAAAUGUGGAACUCACCAAACCUAUGCAAAUCCUCUACAAGGGCACUUUAAGAGUGCUGCUGGUUCUUUUGCAUGAUUUCCCAGAGUUCCUUUGUGAUUACCAUUAUGGGUUCUGUGAUGUGAUCCCACCUAAUUGUAUCCAGUUAAGAAAUUUGAUCCUGAGUGCCUUUCCAAGAAACAUGAGGCUCCCUGACCCAUUCACUCCUAAUCUGAAGGUGGACAUGUUGAGUGAAAUUAACAUUGCUCCCCGGAUUCUCACCAAUUUCACUGGAGUAAUGCCACCUCAGUUCAAAAAGGAUUUGGAUUCCUAUCUUAAAACUCGAUCACCAGUCACUUUUCUGUCUGAUCUGCGCAGCAACCUACAGGUAUCCAAUGAACCUGGGAAUCGCUACAACCUCCAGCUCAUCAAUGCACUGGUGCUCUAUGUCGGGACUCAGGCCAUUGCGCACAUCCACAACAAGGGCAGCACACCUUCAAUGAGCACCAUCACUCACUCAGCACACAUGGAUAUCUUCCAGAAUUUGGCUGUGGACUUGGACACUGAGGGUCGCUAUCUCUUUUUGAAUGCAAUUGCAAAUCAGCUCCGGUACCCAAAUAGCCACACUCACUACUUCAGUUGCACCAUGCUGUACCUUUUUGCAGAGGCCAAUACGGAAGCCAUCCAAGAACAGAUCACAAGAGUUCUCUUGGAACGGUUGAUUGUAAAUAGGCCACAUCCUUGGGGUCUUCUUAUUACCUUCAUUGAGCUGAUUAAAAACCCAGCGUUUAAGUUCUGGAACCAUGAAUUUGUACACUGUGCCCCAGAAAUCGAAAAGUUAUUCCAGUCGGUCGCACAGUGCUGCAUGGGACAGAAGCAGGCCCAGCAAGUAAUGGAAGGGACAGGUGCCAGUUAGACGAAACUGCAUCUCUGUUGUACGUGUGUCAGUCUAGAGGUCUCACUGCACCGAGUUCAUAAACUGACUGAAGAAUCCUUUCAGCUCUUCCUGACUUUCCCAGCCCUUUGGUUUGCGGGUAUCUGCCCCAACUACUGUUGGGAUCAGCCUCCUGUCUUAUGUGGGCACGUUCCAAAGUUUAAAUGCAUUUUUUUGACUCUUGGCCAAAAUUUAGAAGAUGCUGUGAAUAUCAUUUUGAACUUGUGUAAAUACAUGAAAGAGAAAACCUUUGUCUGG